rnacentral:rRNA from 1 species
UACGUAGGUGGCAAGCGUUGUCCGGAUUUAUUGGGGUUAAAGGGUGCGUAGGCGGUCCCUUAAGUCAGUGGUGAAAUACUCUAGCUCAACUAGAGAGGUGCCAUUGAUACUGAGGGACUUGAGUGAAGUCGAAGUAGGCGGAAUUGACGGUGUAGCGGUGAAAUGCUUAGAUAUCGUCAAGAACACCGAUAGUGAAGACAGCUUACUAGACUUAUACUGACGCUGAGGCACGAAAGUGUGGGGAUCAAACAGG